CUUUGGCUUUGUGCUAUUGAGCAAGAGGCCUGACCCAUUUCUAUGUAAGAAGCCACACUUUUUAUAUUCAGCUUCUGAAUGAACUAACUCAUAAAUAUGUUUUUAAGUCAGCUUAACGUAUAUACUAGUACAACAUACUAGGUACAUACACUUCAAUCAUUAGAAUAAUUUGCAUAAUGUAGUUCAGAUAGAGCACGAUCAGCAGGGCGGGCGAUAGAGUACACAACUGUAUCGGGAGAUAUCCUGUAUGCAACACCUUGUAUAUUUGGUUUAGAGAACAAUGGCUGUGAAUUCAAACAACAGGAGGGGAUGUCGAGACAUUCUGUCUACAACCGGGGUGGGGUGCACCGGGCUCUGCUUAGAGAUAUCAAUGUUUAACCCCGGGUGGUCGGCAGAUAUCUCGACAUGCCUUAUGCAUGAUAGUGCACACCUUGGUUUCAAACGAUUCUCUACAGAUAGAAUGGGGCUACAUGCUUGGGCCCCUGUUGAACACACACACACACCCUUUGUUUUUGAAACGCACACACACACACUCCUGCUGCUCCGUCACACGCACACUCAUGCACGCACCCUGAUUUUCCAUGUCUUUUUCUUCGUGACAGACCGGGCUGAUGUCUGGAAAGGACAUUUUCCUAUCGUUAAAGGAUAAAGGGGCUGGUUAGCCCCGACCAUUAUCCGUUUCCAAUUCACCAACUCAAAGACGCUUGCCCGCUCCAUCAUAACUCCGUCAUUUUGCAGGGCUUUGGCAGUGCUCGUUCCUGCUCCUCCUUGCACAAAGGCG